rnacentral:tRNA from 3 species
GCGGGUGUAGUUCAAUGGUAGAACGCCAGCUUCCCAAGCUUGAGGCGUGGGUUCGAUUCCCAUCACCCGCUCCA